CCGGAGCGGCUCUGAUUCAUGGUGGAGGUUGCACUGAACCGAGAUCACGCCACUGCACUCCAGCCUGGGCGACAGAGCAACACUUGGUCUCACAAAAAAAAAGAACGUUGAUUUGAUGGGUGAGGUACUUGGAAACCCACGAAAUCUAAGGAACAGUUGAGCUGUGGAGAGGAAAAGAAUUAAGAGGCAAGAUAAUUGUUUUCAAGUGUUG
rnacentral:lncRNA from 1 species